CCGCCCCUCAGUGGGGCAGGCAGGCUGGCGGAAGUGACGUCACGGGAAACGCCAUUAAAUAGCAGUAGGCCGUCCCCUACUCUCUCUCGGCCCUAGCGCCAUCUUCUCAGAAAGCUCUGCGCCAUGAGAGCGAAGUGGAGGAAGAAGCGAAUGCGCAGGCUGAAGCGCAAGCGGAGAAAGAUGAGGCAGAGGUCCAAGUGAGCGGCGCGAGCCCCCGCGGGAGCAGGAACGAGGAGUGCUGCAGGCUGGGGACGCCGGGCGCUGGGACCGCGCGCCCGCGACGACGAGCCCUUGUCGCCGCAUCUGGGGCUUCCACCGCGUGAUCGCCGGGAGCCGCGAUGGGCUUGGGCCUGGCCUACGACCCACACGGUCCCGGUUGAUGGCUUCGACCUGGACCUCUGGCACUCUGGACUGGUUCUGUUCUCGUUUGUGGCCAAGUGUAACUCGUGUACAAUAAACCACCUCUUUCGCUCUCGGCUGGAGAAUCAAAACCA